UCAGGCCAAACGCCGAGUCCUGCCCCUGGUCUGAACACCCUCCGACAAGCCGGGGCAGGAGCGGGGGACCCAAGGUCUCACCGGGCAACGCCGGAACACCGGCCGCGUCCUCGGGGUGAAGCUGCCGCAAGGCAGCCGGGUGGCGUGAACCCCGCCCGAACCCGACAGCUGACCUCGCAGGCGUCAGGGAAGGACGC
rnacentral:sRNA from 2 species